AGUGAUCUCAUUGUUAAGCAAUGAUUUCAGCAUGAACACAUGUGAUCUUUAUCAAAUUUAAAUGAUUUUAUCAGUGUCCCCUGAUUUCAAGUCAACCCUGUUACUGACACCGAAAAACCCCUGUAAAAUAAUGGCACAUUCCAGAAGUGACAUCAUUUACAGGAAGUUACAUCAUUAACAGGAAGAGGAUUUUCAAGAGUUAAAACACAAAUGUUAUUAGUAUGCCAUUAAGUUCAGCAGAGAAACAAAGGCGUUAUCGCGCUCGCCGAGACCAAGAUCCAGUAAGAAGGGAAAAGUACCUUGAAUGGGAAAAGAAGAAAUGGAGGAAGGACAUAGAGCAGGGGAGGAAGAAACCAAUACAGGAGUGCAGAGAGAGAGAGCAGAGGUUACAGCGGAGAAAAUGGAGGCAAGCCCAGGCAAAAAGCAGGGCAUCAAAAAAGGCAGCUACUGUUGCACUCAGCAGCUUAUCUACACCUCCAGUGAGCCCAGCCUUCACCUUUCUGCCCGACCAAACACCGAGCCUACCCGCAGUUGAUUGGACCAGGACAGACACCAUUGGAAAGUGGUGUAUGGUCAGAUAUGAUGGUGACAUUUACCCUGGGAUAGUCACUGCAACAGAUGACACGGCAAUCCAGGUCAAAUGUAUGCACUGUGGAGGGCCAAAUAAAUUCUACUGGCCCAGUCAUGAGGAUGUUAUCUGGUACCUCCAUGACGAUGUACUUUGCUUCAUCCCAGCCCCACUACCAAUCACUGGUCGCCAUGUUGCGAUCCAGAGCGAUACAUGGUUGGAUCUUACAAAGAAGUAAAAUUAUAUAUUUCUCCAUUUAAUGUGAUAUGCACAUUCAAGGGAUGGAUUCAUUUGUGCAGUUAUUUUCCUAUGGCACUACCUCCUUUUAAUUUCUAAUAUGUUUGUACAGCUGUUUGUCUCUGUUACACAAAGGUUAUACACUUGCCAAAAGUUCUCAGAUGUGUAUGCAUUUACUUUUAUCCUUGCCUAAGGGUAAGGUAUGUUUCCAGUUUUAAUGUGAAGAUGAUACACUUUCAUAUGUCAUGAUUUGUAUGGCUGUUCUCUAUCUUCAAUGAGUUAUGUAAUGUGUGAUAAGUGUUAACGUUUUUUUACCUUCUACCUAAUCUAUCUCAAUAUGAAAUUUUACCAUCUACCUAAUCUAUCUAAAUGUGAAUUUUGAUACCUACUUCAGAGAGACUUGUGAUGUAAGAUAGGUCUUCAUGGUCUGGUUUUAAUGUUGCCAGUUGAUUUCUCUGACCAGUGUACUGAGGAUCAGUUUAAAUUAAAGUAACAUUCUUCUAAA